AAUUCUUUGGGUAGCUUAAAAAUACAUUUAUAAAUUGACAAUUUUUUUUUUUUUACUAUGAAAUUAGGUGAUUAAUAAAUAUACUGAAAGAAUAUGGCUGCACAGAUACCAGAAUCUGACCAGAUAAAACAGUUUAAGGAGUUCCUGGGAACUUACAAUAGACUUACAGAAAGCUGCUUUUUGGACUGUGUUAAAGACUUCACAACAAGAGAGGUGAAACCUGAAGAGGUUACCUGUUCAGAACAUUGCUUACAGAAAUAUUUAAAAAUGACACAGAGAAUAUCCAUGAGAUUUCAGGAAUAUCAUAUUCAGCAGAAUGAAGCCCUGGCAGCCAAAGCAGGACUCCUGGGCCAGCCCCGGUAGAGAAGUCCCAAGGCACAGACUUGCACUGAGAGAUUGCCAGCAGCUGUUGCACUGGAAGUGAGGGUUCACUUGGGAGAACCCCUGAAGCACAGCCGAAGUGGUGGUGGUGGUAAACCAUCUGUUGUAACUGCCUGACCAAUGGAAACCACUGGAGAAACAAAAAUCACUCUUCACCAGAAAGAAUCCAAACAGAAGGCCUUGCUGUUGAGUGAAAAUGGUAAGAUGCAACAUUGUUGAGGACUUAAGUUUCACCUGGGUGGUCACCUUCAUUACAAAAAUAAACCACUGUUCUUUUCUUUGUGACUGUUAAUUUUAAAGGCAAAACAUGUGUUCCAAUCAUGUAAGAGAUAGAAAAACUUUAUUACUAAAAGCAAAAUAAAUGAAAAUAUGA